UACAGAGGUCCCGAGCGUUGUUCGGAUUCACUGGGCGUAAAGGGUGCGUAGGUGGCGGGGCAAGUUUGAUGUGAAAGCUCAGGGCUUAACCCUGAAAUGGCAUUGAAUACUGCUUUGCUGGAGGUUUGGAGGGGGGACUGGAAUUCUUGGUGUAGCAGUGAAAUGCGUAGAUAUCAAGAGGAACACCAGUGGCGAAGGCGAGUCUCUGGACAGUUCCUGACACUGAGGCACGAAGGCCAGGGGAGCAAACGGG
rnacentral:rRNA from 1 species